AUUGAACGCUGGCGGCAGGCCUAACACAUGCAAGUCGAACGAGUGGCGGACGGGUGAGUAAUGUCUGGGAAUCUGCCUGAUGGAGGGGGAUAACUACUGGACACGGUAGCUAAUACCGCAUACCAUCAGAUGUGCCCAGAUGGGAUUAGCUAGUUGGUGGGGUAACGGCUCACCAAGGCGACGAUCCCUAGCUGGUCUGAGAGGAUGACCAGCCACACUGGAACUGAGACACGGUCCAGACUCCUACGGGAGGCAGCAGUGGGGAAUAUUGAACAAUGGGCGCAAGCCGGAUGCAGCAAUGCCGCGUGUAUGAAGAAGGGCUUCGGGUUGUAAAGUACUGUCAGCGGGGAGGCGUUACCCGAAGAAGAAGCACCGGCUAACUACGUGCCAGCAGCCGCGGUAAUAC
rnacentral:rRNA from 1 species